AGAGUUUGAUCCUGGCUCAGAUUGAACGCUGGCGGCAGGCUUAACACAUGCAAGUCGAGCGGUAGCACAGGGGGGCUUGCUCCCUGGGUGACGAGCGGCGGACGGGUGAGUAAUGUCUGGGAAACUGCCUGAUGGAGGGGGAUAACUACUGGAAACGGUAGCUAAUACCGCAUAACGUCGCAAGACCAAAGAGGGGACCUUCGGGCCUCUUGCCAUCAGAUGUGCCCAGAUGGGAUUAGCUAGUAGGUGGGGUAAUGGCUCACCUAGGCGACGAUCCCUAGCUGGUCUGAGAGGAUGACCAGCCACACUGGAACUGAGACACGGUCCAGACUCCUACGGGAGGCAGCAGUGGGGAAUAUUGCACAAUGGGCGCAAGCCUGAUGCAGCCAUGCCGCGUGUGUGAAGAAGGCCUUCGGGUUGUAAAGCACUUUCAGCGAGGAGGAAGGUGGUGAGCUUAAUACGUUCAUCAAUUGACGUUACUCGCAGAAGAAGCACCGGCUAACUCCGUGCCAGCAGCCGCGGUAAUACGGAGGGUGCAAGCGUUAAUCGGAAUUACUGGGCGUAAAGCGCACGCAGGCGGUUUGUUAAGUCAGAUGUGAAAUCCCCGGGCUCAACCUGGGAACUGCAUUUGAAACUGGCAAGCUAGAGUCUCGUAGAGGGGGGUAGAAUUCCAGGUGUAGCGGUGAAAUGCGUAGAGAUCUGGAGGAAU
rnacentral:rRNA from 1 species